AAGUCUAACUUAAUCAGUUUACACUACUAGAUAAGUGAUGGGUUGUCGCAACCCAUACAAAUUUGAUUGCAUAUUAGAAAUGCAGUAUAGCUAGGAAUGUGACUCCUAGGUCGUCUCUCAAGGACCAAAUUGUGGUUCGAGAAUUAGGUCAGAGAUGAGAAAAAGGGGGGGGGGUGUUUGAAAGUGUUUGAGACGAGAAUUAAAUUCAAUUAAAAUGCAUGGAAGUUAAACACAACCGAAUAAAAUAGAAAACAUUAAAGUAAAAUAAAAUGCCAAACCCAACAUUGCAACGAACAAAUAUCCAGAUAUAAUUAAAAUGAUUGACAUCCAACACUAAAUAAGAGAAGAUGAAAAACAAUGCAACAUAUGAAUUAAAAUAUUCUAAGCAAGAGAAAUAACAAAACACAAACUUUGUAUAUCAUUCACGUGACUCAACAUCAAUUCUAAUUGAACUAAAUUGUUCUCAUGUGGUAAUGGCCCUUGGGUGUGACAACUUGGCCGUGGGCUCCAUCCUUCCAAGAAAAAUGUUUUAUGCAAACCAUGCCUCAUUCAAAUGUAUAUCCCGAGAGCACCAAUCUACUGCCACCAAUUUUCAUUCAAUAGCAAUAUGACUUUCCAAAUUGAAUCACCAUGCUUUUAUCUCUCCUCUGCCGAAUAUAACUUUUCACCAAUUCCUAACAAUUAAUUCUUCACUUUCAAGGAAAU
rnacentral:lncRNA from 1 species